rnacentral:misc_RNA from 1 species
UUUUUUUUUUUUUUUUUGGUUUGAAAUGCUCCCCCUGAAGAUAACUAUAAAGCUUCUUGUCUCUUCAAUCUUCACUUGAUUUUAGUUUUAAUCUCCUCAAUCAUAAUCCCCCAUAUUUGUUGAAGACAUGAAUGUUCUCCCUUCAUUAGAAUUGGGCUUCUUGAAUCUUGAGGUAUGCAGAAGAUCCUAUUGGGGUAAAGGCUUCUUCUUUGGAUGUGUUACAAUAUUUUUGCUUAAUUACCUUUUUGUGAUUUUUUAGGGGACUUAUUAAUUUCAUGAUCUUUGUUUUCCAGGUAACCAUCAUGAUAGGCAGACAUGGUCAUGGUAUCAUUUUUGAAAUUACAGGUAACAGUAUUUUGUCAGUUAUAAUAUGUUCUCCUCAACUAUAUGUUUUCUCUAAACCAAUUAGUAAGAAUACACACUACUUUAUACUACAGUUUACAAACUGAAUUAUUUCAGUGACCAAUUUCUAUUUUAGAGUCUUCGUGUUGUUUGUUUUGUUUGGAUAUCCUCCUAUCUUACAAAAGCUAGGAUAUAACAACAGAGAAAGUUAUGGUUUGUUCAAUCAAAAUGAAGAUGAUCCUUUUGCAAUAAGAAUGCUUCUUAACACCUACCAAGGUUUUGACAAAUUUUCCAUUCUUUUCAAUUGUAAUAACUGAAUAUACCAAUAGUGUAUGUUUUGGAUCUUUGUUGGUAUAAUUUUUCCAUUAGUUAGAGAGGUAGUAAAAAACACAUCUCUUGCAUAAUGACUUUUGUAAAAUUUAUAGUAAAUAUAUACAUAAAAGUAGCUUAAGGGGUAAAACUUUUGAAUGGACUAAAAUGAACAUAUUAAAAUAACAUAUUAACAAAAAACAGGCUUUUUAAUAAUUGAUUAUCUAUCCAAAAAAAAUUCUACUUAUAUACAAAAACCAAAUAUCAUUGGCUAAUAAAUAUGUUGAGGUUUAGUAAAUAUGUUGAGGUUUAGUUCUCGGUUCCUUCUAUUAUUAUUUGGUUU